rnacentral:rRNA from 1 species
UACAGAGGGUGCAAGCGUUUGUUCGGAAUUAUUGGGCGUAAAGCGCGUGUAGGCGGCUUUGCAAGUCGGAUGUGAAAGCCUUGGCUCAACCGAGGAAGUGCGUUCGAAACUGCAGAGCUUGAGUACCGGAGAGGGUGGCGGAAUUCCCCAAGUAGAGGUGAAAUUCGUAGAUAUGGGGAGGAACACCGGUGGCGAAGGCGGCCACCUGGACGGUCACUGACGCUGAGACGCGAAAGCGUGGGUAGCAAACAGG